ACAGGCCCCGCAGCGAGGGCGUGGCUCCCAGGUUCCACGUCCUGCGAGAGGGGACCAUGGCCUGGGGCUCAGCAGCCUCCUCGGGGCACCAGGCAGCCUGCGGAGAGAACAAGGGGAGAUAAGCUUGAAGACCGUGGACCAGCACAACUGCACCUCGGGCAGAGCCAGCCAUCUGGAAGGGUCUACGCCCCACCGGUCGCUGGUUACCCAGCGCAGCAGCUCCAACUGCACUGUCCCCCAAAGACCCUAGGGCUCGCAGGAUGAAAUGGGGCCUGCUGCCUUUUGGGGGUAUUUGUUUCCGAAUACGGAGGCUCCGAAGUGCGAAAGUUGCAUAUCAGCUGUGCCUGAGACCCCACACCUGAGCCCUUCCCAGCUGAGCCUGGAGCCUGAGGACAAGCCAGGUCCUAGCCCCACACAGAGGAGGCACCGCGAGUCAGCAGCAUCUCCCAAACCUCCCACCUGGCAUCCUGCGUGUGUCCAGCACCUCCCUGCACCCGGGCACCACUCAUGCAGGUGGGCUUGGCAUCCUCACAGCCUCUGCAGCACGUGCCUUCAGAGGGAAGAGAACCGGGGACUCGGGAGACUCAAGGCAUCUCC
ensembl:lncRNA novel transcript